UACUGGUCCCAUUUAAUACCAAUGACUUUUUUUUAGACUAAAACUCAAACUGUUGCCACCACAAUCACACUUCCUCUGUAACUCAACUCUCUCCUCACUCUCCAUUUGCUCUGCAGUUAUUCAGAAAAAUCAUUUACCCAAGUACCCAAUUAAGUCUACCUUUUUUUUCUAUUUCAUUAAUUUUUGUCUCCCACGGCUCCAUCAUUCAUUGAAUCUAACAAGAUGCUGGACUUAAAAGAAUUAGUCCUUUGUCCUCUCUACUUGACUGCUUCCCUUAUUCUUGACUACUUCCCUCAUUUUUACUUGUAGUUAAAGGUUGAGAUUAAUCAACUCAGGAUUCUCUCAACCACUAAUACACAGAUCUUCAAAGAAAAAUUUCUCCUUGCUCAUAAACUUUUCACCUACUUCCUACAUUUAACAAUGUCUAGGCCAGCUGCAGUGGCUCACACCUGUAAUCCCAGCACUUUGGGAGGCAGGGGCAGAUCACUUGAGCUCAGGAGUUCAAGACCAGCCUGGGCAACAUGGCAAAACCCAGCUCUACAAAAAACAUGAAAAACUAGCCGGGUUGUUACCAUGCUCUGUGCUGCACCAAAUAUUAUACUUAAUGGAACGGUGAAUAUCGUCCUCAGAGUAGCUCUUAAUGAUGAAAACCCGGCCAUGUUUCAGAUUCCAGUCAAAAUCUUUGGGGUUAUAGUUAUUAAUGGACCGAAGCUUCUCCAACACUGGGUGGGGUUCUGAAGGAGUAGAUCCAGAACCAGCCUGAGACUGUCCUACUCCAUUACCAUCCACCCCAUUAUGACCGAACCCACUGCCACGGUUCCGAGGUGCUACCCAGCGGGUUGGCUGAGCUGCCUGUUGCUGGACUGAAAGCUGGGCAGGCUGUGGUGGAGGUGGAGGCAAUGGCUGUGUCUGUUGCCCUACUGAUGCCUGAGCCACUGGUGGGCUAUUGUUAGCCUGCUGACCUACAGGCUGAGGAGACCCCUGGGUUGGCUGACCUAUAUUCUGAACCAAAGCCUGUGAGGGGGCUUUUGCAACGGGACCCUUGUUAUCCCAAGUUCCAAUAUCCAUGUUAUGCUUUAUCGGGG
rnacentral:lncRNA from 10 species